UAUUGGUUGAGGAUUUAUGUUGUUGGUCUGUCCACUGUAGUUCCUGUAUAGCGUCCUCCUCUUUAUCUAGUGUUCCUCUUUCGAUGUUGCUGCAUGUGUUUAAUAACCCAAUGAUAUGAUUUCUGGAAACAAGCUUCAAAGAAGCUUCAGUACGAGAAAAAAUGGGUCGCCAGUUCAUACAUGUGCAACCUCCUGCAUGGUCGUCCAUUUUUAUUUGGAGCCUACUCGCUGCAAUGCACAACAGAGGUUGGUGCUCACCUUCUUCGAGACCGCUGCCCGCCGUCCGCUCCCACAUUUGCAGGCUCCUACGGCAAGACCUACUGCCUCGCCACCGCCACCGGUGUGCAAGCACACAUAAAAAAAUCUUCCAUUUUGUUUCUUUUAACCUCAGAACCUUGCUUACAAACAAACACAAUAAUAACACCAUCAUUCUGAACAUUCCUGCACCACCACCAACCCGUCCACCACGGUUGCUGGCAGCCGUCCAAGUUGAGCGCUGAUGGUAGUCCUCUGCGUGCAUCAACGACACUUUCUCACACGCCGCCGCCUAGCCCGCACCCGCAGCCAUCCACCUCACCGCCGCCAGGCACCUCCCGGACAUCACCGCCAAGAGCCUCUCUCCGCCACCACGCCUGGUAGUUGAACUUACAUGGGAUGACCUGUGACCAAUUGCCCCGCCUCUACAAGCUUCUCGGGGAUGACUUGGUAGUCGCUGGGAUUCCUUGCAGUCGCCAAAGCCCGGCGCCGCUCGUGAUCUCCGCCUCCAUCAGCUCCACUUCACCAGAGCAAUCAGUCCAGAGGAGGAGGUGUAGCCGGUCCAACCGAUCUCCGACGUCUUAUUCCACCUACAAUUUUUUUUUCUUUUUGAGUUCUAUUCUUCGUCAUAGGUUCACCGCUAUUACCUUAGUUCAAAAGUGCCAGAGAGUUUAGUUCAGACUAUACUAAAUGUCCAUAUUGUAGAUAAUAUUUGCAUUGUCUUAAAUUUCUGGAAACAAGCUUCAGUACAAGAAAAAUGGGUCAGUCAGUUCAUCCAUAUCCAAACCCCCCUCGACGUGCGGCGGCAGGAAACAUUUUCAGGUUGUUUUCUUUCUCUCUUUGCUUAGCACAAAAUUACGCAAAUGCCUAUCAGAAAUAGAACUUGUUCAUAUACAUGGGUAGGUUCACGAAAAAUUGUAGUAGUAGUUCGGUGAAAGGAUUCACAUCAGUUCAAACAUUUUUGAAUGUUCAGUAAAAGUUCAAAUAGACAAGUGGCUUUCACUUCAUUCGAAAAGCCUAAAGCAACAUUACAAUGAUAGAAUAAAAAUUAGUUCAAAAAAAUGCUGGAGGUUUGUCAGAAUGACAGAAAAACAUCAGUUCAAUUUUUCUGUACCAUCGCUUUUAUUGCUAAUGUUUUAGUCACUUGUUUUCUUGAUGCCAUCAGGUAUUUGCUUAAGUACUUCGGUCUUGUGCUGCUGGUACUAGUGUCGAUGGGUAGCAAGUUCAACUACCAAGCAACACCAAGUUCAGGCAUGUUGUCUGACUCCCACACGUUCCUAGAAGUUGUUCUAGGAUUGGAAAUCUUGCAGCAGCACACUCUUGUUUUCACUGUUUAAGUUCACCUCAAUUUCUAAAUUAAGUUCUGUUCAUAGGAGUGAUUGUAAUCAAUUAGUUUGGUUUUACUUAUGUUCCUUGAAUUUCUAGUACCCUAAUAGAAAUUCAGGGGGGGGGGGGGGGGGGGGGGGGAGAAGCAGAUACUCGUCAUGGGUUAUGAAGUAGACAGAGUACAUAAGAUGCCUACCAUGGUCUAUGAAGUACAGACAAAAAGGCGCCACUCGCCGUCGUCGCUCUCUUGUCGUGACGAACAUGCCGAGCAACGCGGCUACGUGAGAAGGGUGAGAAUUAGCGGGAGCAGGGUAUGGAUGAGGAAGGAGCACCAGUAUCUUCACUGCUGCUGCUGUUUCGUUUCCAUCCCUCUCUCACGUGUGAAGGUGAGCUUGAUAAUAGAGUAGCUAGACCUAUCCGCCUUCCAUUUUCUGAAUUUUUCUGGGAGCUAGUAGUACCUAAAAGGAGGAAGCUGGCAACUCCGUUUACCUAAACAUGUAUAGCACAUGUGAUGCUACAGAAUUUUGUUGGAGCUGGAUGAGACUUUUGCCGUUCCCCUUGUACUCCUUCAUAUAAUCAGUUCACGUUUUCAAACCCUGUAAGGUCAACCUCCUGGGAUACACGAAGUUUCAGUUCGUCGAGAGGCUUCCUGGAGCUUCAAAACAUUUCACUUCACCUUUUUAGGCUUUUUCAGUACAUCUUACAAAGUGUGUUUCCUUUCAUCAUUUUUGUCUACUUAAAAGAAGUGUAGAAGCUUGAGGAAAUACCCCCAAAAUUAUGUGUGCCCUCAGCACUCUUCUACGUGCUUGUUCUAGCUUAUGAGAAUUAUUCUUCAAGGUCAUAAUUUGGAACUAGAUAACUUUUCAUAAAUGAUUGUACUGAAGCUAGGUGUUUAACAGAAUUAUUUCUCAUAAGUUUGCAAAUCACCUGUUGGUUUGGGUUGCAUCUCAUCCACAUCAGUUCACGACAAAAGUUGGAACUUGCAUCAGUUCUAUAUUAUGGGACGGGAGGGAGUACUAAACUUUUGUGUCUGUGCUACCUUUUGUAGAUAGUUUUUGCCAUGUGCUUCUAUUGAACUUGUGUCUGGUUGCUUUUGAACUGUUCCUCAUUGAUAAUUCCUGGAAUUUGAACUAAACGCAUAUAUGAUGCUCAGUUGCAGAUUGUAUAUCAUGGCAAGGACUCUAUUUCAAUGGGAGGUUCAACCAGAGGAGUUCAAAACACAAGAACUCUAGGAGUUUGCAAAACAAAAUAUACUGGGAGAGUUUGCACUUGUAUGUGCAGUGCAUGUGUUAGGUGUAUGUUUUAUUGUAUGAUCUGGACACUGAAGAAAGAAAACACAAGGACUCGGUCCAUGUAUAAUUUUCUACUAUUUUUGCACUCAUAUACUAAAAUCUUUGGUCUGAAAUGUACGAGUGUUGUAUUUUUGGUUUUGUAUGUUGUAGCUGUAACAUGUGACUUAUAGCGUCACUGUUUAUCAAAGAAAAUUCCAGUU